GCUGGGUGUGGUGGCGUGCACCUGUAGUCCUAGCUACUCAGGAGGCUGUGCAGGAGGAUUGCUUGAGCCUGGGAGGUCGAGGCUGCAGUGAGCUGAGAUUGCACCACUGCACUCCAGCCUUGGCAACAAAGUGAGACCCUGCCU
rnacentral:SRP_RNA from 1 species